ensembl:lncRNA
AUGAUACUCAAUAACAUGGCCACGUCCAAAUACCUGAACUCUGCGCUUCAAAACAUCAGACCUCAAACCAAUGGGUUUGCUGUUUGCUCUCGUUGUCUGCAGACCUCUCAGGGAGUUCCGGGUCUCUACAGAACUCGACAGCCCGAAACCUCCGACGCUCCGGGGAGGAGAGGGAAGACGGCCAUUUUGGAUUUGUACGUCCCUCCUCCCCCCACAGCACCGUACGCACCGCUGGACGGCAGCAUCAACGUGUCUCCGGGUUUGAAGCGGAGGCCCAACUCUCCCAACUCGUGUCUGGACGCUGACGUGCGGCGGCGCUUCACUUUCGGCGCUGACGGCAGGACGCCGGUCAGCCCCCCCCCACCUGAACCCAACCAACCAAUCCCUGUGUGCCUGAGGCAGCGCUCGUCUACACGCUGUAAACCUCGACCUGUCUCCAUGCCGGUGGAGUCGUUCUCCGUUGACCCGUCCUCCAGGCCCGGCGCUCGGGGAAGGAAAGGUGAGCUCCACCCGCUCCACCCGAGGGUCCUCUGUAAUCUAACCGCUAUCAGCAGCGCGUAG